ACCAAUAGCGUGGUCAUGGCGUCAUGGCGUAAACGCUAUGUGCGUCCAUCGUUGAAUCAGAGAACUGCUUUAAAAAUUUCGUUCUCACUAAACUAGAUACUCUGCUAUAAUUCUCUGAUUUUCCACCUGAAAUCAAGGAAACAUUUUUACUCGUGCUCAACUGGAUUGCGUUUCUUGAUUGUCCUACGAUCCAUCUCGCCAGAAGGCUUUUCCUGAUACCCGAUUUGGUUAACGUAUUGUUAACCAAAAGCCAGACUGCGCGGAAUAUUGUUGGCAAGUGUAAUUUUCGGCUGCUGUCAAGUCAAGUAGGCCUACUCAUCAAGUGUCAUGUUGUUUGAAAUUGUGUUCAGUUGCAUUACAGUUUCAAUUGUUCACAAGAAGUAUUUGAUAAAGUCUUACAUUGGAAGUAACAGAAGGUGGAUUUUGGGAUAUUGGCAAUUGAAUGGCCAGACAAUUGAGUCUGGUGAACAUGUUGGCAAUCGUAAGUCUGCUUUCAAGCAAACGUGCAUGAGGUGUACAUUUAUAGCUGUUCAAACAACAUGUCUACUAUGACUGUCAUGACUCCCAAACUUGUCGUGUUCACCAUUGAUGUUAGAGAGCCUAUUGCUGAACUCUACUCAGAUGCAGCGAAUGGAAAUAACAACAAAUUCCAGGGCUUCGAACCACGACUGCUAAAGUCAGGUGUAUUAUCUCAAGAACUAUUCCGUCAGAAAGCUAAGUCUUCAAGUCGGAAGAGCUAAUUGUUUGAUUUAAGAGAAAAUCCAUUUAAAAAAUAAUUGUGACUCUUUCUUGUAUGAGUAAAAGUAGUUUAAAUAAACACGAAAUUUGACCAGCAUCA